rnacentral:rRNA from 2 species
GAUGCCACCAUUAGGUGGCGUGAUAGGAGAGCGUUCUAAGGGCAAUGAAGGCAGACCGUGAGGACUGUUGGAGCGCUUAGAAGUGAGAAUGCCGGUAUGAGUAGCGAAAGACAGGUGAGAAUCCUGUCCACCGAAUGACUAAGGUUUCCUGGGGAAGGCUCGUCCACCCAGGGUUAGUCGGGACCUAAGGCGAGGCUGAGAAGCGUAGUCGAUGGCUAACAGGUUGAGAUUCCUGUACCAGUUGUAAUGCGUUUGACCGAUGGAGGGACGCAGGAGGCUACCAGAUGCGCACUGAUGGAAAUGUGCGUGCAAGCAGUAAGUCUUGAGAAGAGUGAAAUGCUUUUCUCUCUAAGGACAAGCUGUGAUGCGGAUCGAAAUAAAGUAGAGAAGUCUGAGAUGUCACAC